GAUGAACGCUGGCGGCGUGCCUAAUACAUGCAAGUCGAGCGAACGGACGAGAAGCUUGCUUCUCUGAUGUUAGCGGCGGACGGGUGAGUAACACGUGGAUAACCUACCUAUAAGACUGGGAUAACUUCGGGAAACCGUAGCUAAUACCGGAUAAUAUUUUGAACCGCAUGGUUCAACAGUGAAAGACGGUCUUGCUGUCACUUUUAGAUGGAUCCGCGCUGCAUUAGCUAGUUGGUAAGGUAACGGCUUACCAAGGCAACGAUGCUUAGCCGACCGGGGAGGGUGAUCGGCCACACGGGAACUGAGACACGGUCCAGACUCCUACGGGAGGAAGCAGUAGGGAAUCUUCCGCAAUGGGCGAAGGCCUGACGGGGCAACGCCGCGUGAGUGAUGAAGGUCUUCGGAUCGUAAAACUCUGUUAUUAGGGAAGAACAUAUGUGUAAGUAACUGUGCACAUCGUGACGGUACCUAAUCAGAAAGCCACGGCUAACUACGUG
rnacentral:rRNA from 1 species